rnacentral:lncRNA from 1 species
GGCAGUGUGGGCUGCGCUUGGGCGCCGCGGUGGGUAAUCGGGCCGCGGGGGCGCGAGGCUGACGGGGAAGGAAGAGAGUUGUCCGGGAAGGCGAGGGGCGGGCGGCAGGUGGGGGUCAGGCCCCGGGGGUCGGCCCGAUGCUGUGUCGCAGUGUGGCCUCGGGGGCCGGGGGGCCGCGGUUUCUCAUUUCCUGAUGGGGAAACUGAGGCCCUGAGAGGGGCUGCAGAGGCAGGUAAACCGGAACCUAGUCCCUCACCCACAGACAUUUUAAAAUCGUAAUAUUAGGUAAUUUACAUCCUAAUAUUAGCUGAGAAAGCAUUAGAAUUCUCUCUAAACUGAAUACGUAAAAUACGGCUUUCGUUGACUACCCUGUCAGGCUCACCGACUCUGGGCUUCUCUUUUUGGGGUCCACAACUUCUUUGUACAAGUCCACAGCCCCUUAUUUUAAAGCUCCGAGGCUAGAUGUGUUCACAAUCCCGAAUUUCUAGGAUUCUCGAAAGGUAAUUUGGGGCAUAUAUUAUAUGUCCUGUCCUGUCUUCCUUGGGGUCUCCGGCAGCGUCUUGUCAUCAGAUACAUUACUUUUUUUUCACAGCUGAAUAGAUGCAUAUUCCCAGUAAGAAGGUAAACAACAAGCAUGAAUAGUCUCACCUGAAGCCAGAUGGGGUUUUCAAACUUAAAGGAUUUGUUUUUGAGAACUUUUUAGAUUUAAGCGUUGCACGUAAAACCUGGAAUCAUAAUUUUGUUGAUCCACUCAUAUUUUGCCCUUGUUUGGACUGGGGGUGUGGCAGUUUCUAACCAUGCUUUUGUAUGGUCACUCCCUGUCUCCAUCACUAACUCUGUGUGGCCUUGUGCCCUCUCAGCCUCUGUUUCCUCAUCUGAAAAAUGGGGUCAGUAAUGCUUUCCUCAUAAGGUUCUGGGGAGGAUUAAAUAGGACUGUGCACAGGAAGCAUGCACAUAUAUAUCUCGCUCUUGGCACAGAUGGUUCUAUUUGAGGUUUGCUUGUUCUGCAGACAUUCUAUUUUUAAAUGAUUUGGGUACCUAGGAGUUCCCCUGGUGGCUCAGCAGGUUAAGAACCAGACCAGCGAAGAUGCAGGUUCAAUUCCUGGCCUUGCUCAUGGGUUAAGGAUCCGGCGUUGCCGUGAGCUGGGAUGUAGGUCACAGAUGCAGCUCAGAUGCUGCGAUGCUGUGGCUGUGGUGUAGGCCGACAGCUGCGGCUCCAAUUCAACCCCUAGCCUGGGAACUUCCGUAUGCCGUGGGUGCGGCCCUAGAAAGCAAAAAUCAAUGAAUAAAUAAAUACAUAAAAAGGAUGAUAUACUAUGACCCAGUGUAGUUCAUCCCAAGAAUGCGGAGUUGGUUUAGCAUUUGGAGAUCAAUGUAAUUCUCAUAGCAACAAGCUGAAAAAGAAAACCGUAUGAUCAUCUCAAUAGGUGCGGAAAAAGCAUCUGACAACAGGCAACACCUCCCCUGGCAUGAUGCCGCGGAAGUGCCUUACAGCAAACUCAGGAGAUCCUCAGGAGCGGGAUAUGAGCACAAUAAGGGACAUCAGGGCACAGAGCAGCAGCGGAGAAUCAGCCAGGGUCUGCCCAGACUUGAGAAAUCCAACAUCUGUUCCUGAUAGAAAACCCUCAGCAAGUCGGGAAAGAAGGGAACUUCCUUGACUUGAUAAAGCGGAUCUGUGUGGAACUACAGCUAACACACUUGAUUGUGAGAGACUGAUGACUCUUUCCCCCCUACUAUCAGGAGCAAGACAGGAAGGUCGCUUCUCAUCACUGCCGUUCACUGUUGCACCAGUUCACCAGUGUUCUGUUCACCGGUGCACUCAGGCUCUCGCCAGUGCACUCAGGCAAGGGAAAGAAAAAAAAAAAA